rnacentral:rRNA from 1 species
UUCGGUCCGCUGACGAGUGGCGAACGGGUGAGUAACACGUGGAGACCUGCCCUAGGGUACGGGACAACAGUUAGAAAUGACUGCUAAAACCGUAUACGUCCUACGGGAGAAAUAUUUAUAGCCCUUGGAGGGGUCCGCGUUGGAUUAGCUAGUUGGUAGGGUAACGGCCUACCAAGGCGACGAUCCAUAGCUGGUCUUAGAGGACGAUCAGCCACACUGGGACUGAGACACGGCCCAGACUCCUACGGGAGGCAGCAGUGGGGAAUAUUGCGCAAUGGAGGCAACCCUGACGCAGCGAUACCGCGUGGGUGAAGAAGGUCUUCGGAUUGUAAAGCCCUUUCAGUGGGGACGAUAGUGACGGUACCCACAGAAGAAGCUCCGGCUAACUCCGUGCCAGCAGCCGCGGUAAUACGGAGGGGGCGAGCGUUGUUCGGAAUUACUGGGCGUAAAGGGCGCGUAGGCGGCUCUGCAAG